GCACUGCUGAGGAGUCCUAUAAUAAGACGAAACGACCGUCCAGUAC
rfam:Schistosoma mansoni, Puerto Rico, WGS project CABG01000000 data, contig: 0262